CAGUCCGGAAUACAAGGAAUCGAUGGCCAUUGUAAGAAAUUGUGUCUUCUUUCUCUAUCUCGAAUUGCGAAUUUUCCAGGUUUUUUCGUCAUGUCAUCUAGGGAUGAACUGGAAGUUCACAAAGAAAUGUGUGUACAGAGUAAGAAAGAACAUAUCAGGGUAUGAUUAAACCAACCAGUAUGGAGACAGACGAAACAAGCCCAACACACGUUCGGCAUAUCAACCGACUCUAACUUUAUUAAGAACAAAAUUAAGUGAGGCAAACAUGGGUCUGAACGUCAAUAUUCCAAGCAAUCUAUGGAAUCUAUUGGUCGAAAUGCAGAUAGUGUGACAGGAAAAAACAAUUAUUCCGAAUAAAAUAGAUAAAUAACUGGAAUAUUUUAAAGUUAGCACAGUGCUAAUCCGUUAUUAACACUUUGACAGAAUCCUAAUACUCGAAAUAUGGAGAAGCUGCAGCCGAAUCGUGAAGAUUAUUAACCCUCAAACGACUAAUUUAUAUGAAUGUACAUUUCCAUAUUUCUAUUAGUUUAAAACACAUUGCAUUUUCUAAUUGAUCUCGAUAUCAGCUGCGACACUUUGACAAGGGAAGCAACAUUAAAGUGGACAAACCGAUUAAUUGAGCAUUAAAAAAGGGUAAAUUAAAGAAUACAGGCGCCCUGGGUGACAGCUUCUCAUCACGUGACGCUAGGUAGCACUAAAGGAAUGCUCAAGCCAGUCGUACAGUUGAUAGAUUACAGUACUGGCCUACAAUUACACGAAAGCCCGGUAUUCAGGAAUGGAAUUGGGUCUCGGGGCAGGAUGGGCCGAGCGCCCCCCAAUGAAUCCGAAACAAUGAAUCCGACCCACAAUCAGAAAUCCUUGCUUUGGCCCCCGCUUUUUGGAACACCUUGAUCCGUCCCUGGGACUUGUUUUGUGCUUUUGGGAACAUAGUUUAAGUUGAAUUUCGCUGAAUCGUAGACACUGAAGCACUGCCACAAAACCCCACGAUCCGGAAGUUUCGUUUUUUUCCGUGGAAUCGCAUGAAUCACGAAUCGCACAUCUCUAAAUAAAUGUGUAUUUUCUGCAAUAAGGUUUACACCUAUUUCAAAUCAUUUCUUAUUUACGCUUAUUUGCUUAUUUAAAGCAAACCCAUGAAGCACUGCGGGUUGCGAUUCACAGAUUCUCCGAGUGCAACCUUAUUUGAAAUAGGCGUAUAUUUCAAUGUACUUUUGAUUCUAUAUUAAGGUAUAUUAAAACAUAGGGAUAAUGUUAUUAAAAGAAAAAAAGAUAGUAGAACUAACGCAAUGCAUCACAUGAAGUUAUAUAACUUAACAAAGCAUAAACCAAAAUAAAUAUCAACGCGUGUCGAAAGACACAGGGAGUAAAACG